UAAGCACCCACUCUAGGCCAGGCUCUGGGUCAGGUGAUGGUGAUACAGAGGAAAAGACAGUCCCUGGUCUCCAUGAACCCUGACUGGAAGAACACAGCCAAACAAGGAUUACAAAACAAGACGGCAAGUGUAGGGGAGGAGUGAGUGUCCCCAGGGCCACCGAAGGAGCUGAAGAGGCUCAGCCUGAGAGAGCAGAGAGGGUAGAAGCAGCCACGGCUGGGUCAAUUCUGAAGGGUACAUGGGAUUCAGCUGGGAUGGAGGGGGGCUAUCGGAGGUGGUUUGGAGGAGGACAUCUGGGAAUCUUUCCGACUUGGCAUGGUGGGAUAAAGGCAACUAAAAGGGACAGGCAGGAAAUGAGGUUGAGAAGCAAGCAGGGGCCUAACGAGGGAAGGUUUUGUAUGGGACAUAAGGGAUUGGGGCCUUAAUCUAGAUGUGAGCGUGAGCAGGUCAGAAACUGGUGGGUGGGUACCUUCUGUGUGUGUGUGCAGGAGGCCAAGCCAAGCUGUACAGCUGCAAUGGCGCUGAGGUGCAGGAGACCCACACUGCCCACUGCUUGCAGCUGGGGAACCUGAGCAGUCAUCUGUGAUACCUACCUGGUGUGACCCAAGACGUUUUAUUCGCUACCGCCCAAUACACCUGGUCCAUACUGGAUGGUUCUGAUGAUUAGAGAAUGUUUCCUGAGGGGGGCUGCAUUUGGCACUUGCUCUUUUCUCCUCCACCUAAUCCUGCCCUCUGGAAACAUAAAAGUUUUGUUUUCCACCUAACAGCCAUUCAAACACAUUUGUGGUAUUUCAACAUAUCACAUUGUUGGGUACACAGGUCCUAAUCUUGCCCAACUCAGCCAGCUGUUGGGUCCAAGCCCCUCUGCGAGGGACUGGACCUCCUUAGAUGCCAGGUGGUAGAUGGAGAAGGUAUAAGAAGUCAUGGAUAUAUAACAGUCUUCAUUACAGGCCAAAUAGCCAUUGCUUACAAGGAGCCCUUAGACAAAACAGCUCUUCAAAGUAGAAUCCCAUAGGCAGGCAGCUGCACAUUGACUGACUCAUAAAUACAUCUUUCCCAUAAAGUAGCCUCCAACAUAAGAGCUACACAAGAGCUAUUAUUAGAGCUACGGCCUCAGGCUAGGGGCUAAUCCAGGAGCCUCACAUAGUAGCAGCUGAAUACUGCCGGUUGGUCAGUGGCAACUUAUAUACAAGCACAAACAAACUUAAGCGUAAGAAGCUUUAUGCCAAAUAGUGACCUGAAUAUUAUUUGAAUUACAGAAGGGUACGCUGGCACAGUGCAGAGAUUGCUACAUCCUUGCUUUUGCACCUACAUAUAGCAAUUUAACCUUGAACAUUCUGAUUAAGAUCCCCACUCUCAGAGUGGCCUUGAACAUCCGGGGUACUCUGAAAAGGGCCCUUAC